AUGUAUGAGAAAGGACAAAGAUGAACCAAGAAAAAGAAAUGGGGAAAAAUAUCAAAGAAAAGAGCUAAGAUGACAUGUUCUAACUGCCACCAAAUUGGCCACAACAAAAAAAGCCUCAAGAAAGACCAAGAACAACAACUGAAGCAACACCAAACAGUCAACCUGCUACUCAACAGUCUAGUAAUACUAUUGAAGCAAUGCCAAUGAGACAACCUAGUACCCGACAUUCCAGUGUUUUUUCUUCUUUGUGUCAAGAUACUACAAGAGUUAGAAAUAAUAUUUCUACUGGGGAGAGGACUAGGAAUAGGAGUUGGCAGAGGAAAGGGAAGGGGAACUGGUAUAGGAAGGAGAAGGGGGGCUGGUUCUGAUUCAACAAGUACAACAGUCACUGCACCUGCUGGAUUUGCUACUGCUGCUUCUCUUCAUGCUGCUAGUAAAUCUGUUUCUGCUGCUGUUGGGAAAAAAAAAAGAGAACUGGGAUUUGGCAUUUACAUAGACACAUAACCUGGAAGACAAGUUCUUAAUACCAGAACACUAAGUAAAAAAGUCAUCUCUAGUGGGAGGCAAUUAAAGAAUGCAUCACUUACCAAUAUUAAUCUUGGAUUCAAGCCACCUAGAUUGAAAUGGAAGGGAAAAGCUGCUAUUACUGGAAACCAACUUCAACAACAAAAAGAGAAGCAAAUGAAAAAGAAAAAGCCUCAUUAAAGAAGAUUUCACUUUAUGUAGUUUGUUCAAGUGUUUUGUAUGAUUUGGUUUUCAUGAACUUAAAACUGCAGUUUUAGUUAUUUGCUAUUAAAGCAAUGUUU